CUGAGUUUAAGCUGAGAGUGACCAAAAUUAUCACUCCGUUUUAUCCUCUAGAAAGGAAAAUUCUUUCUUAACUUGUCACAGUCAAAUGUAUGGGUCUAGCUAGCCUCAGAUCUCCUUCUCCCCUCAGGUUAUCGCCAUGCCUCUUCUUCAUGCCUCCAGAUCCUUCAGCUCUGACGUUGGAUGGCAGCAACUAACAGCAGAGUCACUGAGAGGGAUGAGAUAGCUGAAUGCUUGGUACAUGAAACAAUGAAGAAGACCAUUGUCUUCUUGGUACAUGAAACAAUGAAGAAGACAAGUGUCCCAGUGGACAUUGCUGAUGAAAGAGGGUGGAGAUUGUCUACAGUAGAAAACUGGCUCCAAGCCCUGCAAAUUGCUUUUAUGAAAAUCUGAAAGUGAAGAAGUAAAAGCAUGUUGCUCCAAUUAGCUUAAAACCCAACUGAAUCUGCUGUUGGCCUAAAAGAGAGCUGUCUGAAGAAAAACAAAAGCAAUGCCUAUCAUUUUAGAAUUGGACACUAAAAGGAACAAGAACGGUUUCUGUCCUCUUUCUUGCUGAGACUGUGAGGAGGCCUGAACGUUCUCAUUCAAGGUCAAU
rnacentral:lncRNA from 1 species